CCUACGGGUGGCAGCAGUGAGGAAUAUUGGUCAAUGGGCGCGAGCCUGAACCAGCCAAGUCGCGUGCAGGAGGACGGCCCUACGGGUUGUAAACCUCUUUUGCCGGGGAGCAACGGGCCUCACGUGUGGCGCCUCUGAGAGUACCCGGAAAAAAAGCCUCGGCUAACUCCGUGCCAGCAGCCGCGGUAAUACGGAAGGUCCGGGGGUUAUCCGGAUUUAUUGGGUUUAAGGGGAGCGUAGGCCGCAUGUCAAGCGUGCUGUGAAAUGUCCGGGCUCAACCCAGGCCUUGCAGCGCGAACUGGCGUGCUUGAGUCCGCGGAAAGCAGGCGGAAUUCGUCGUGUAGCGGUGAAAUGCUUAGAUAUGACGAAGAACCCCGAUUGCGAAGGCAGCUUGCUGCAGCGGAACUGACGCUGAUGCUCGAAAGCGCGGGUAUCGAACAGGAUUAGAUACCCGUGUAGUC
rnacentral:rRNA from 1 species